rnacentral:rRNA from 1 species
UACGGAGGGUGCAAGCGUUAAUCGGAAUUACUGGGCGUAAAGCGUGCGCAGGCGGUUUGUUAAGUCCGUUGUGAAAGCCCCGAGCUCAACUUGGGAAUUGCAGUGGAUACUGGCAGGCUGGAGUACGGUAGAGGAAGGUGGAAUUCCCGGUGUAGCAGUGAAAUGCGUAGAUAUCGGGUAGAACACCAGUGGCGAAGGCGGCUAUCUGGACGGACACUGACGCUGAGACGCGAAAGCGUGGGGAGCAAACAGG